rnacentral:rRNA from 1 species
UUGGAGGGCAAGUCUGGUGCCAGCAGCCGCGGUAAUUCCAGCUCCAAUAGCGUAUAUUAAAGUUGUUGCAGUUAAAAAGCUCGUAGUUGAAUUUCGGGAUUCAUCCGUUGGUCGGGCUUCACGGUCCGUACUGGUGUGAUGGGUUCCUACCUUCUGAAUAACCGGCAUGCCAUUAAUUUGGUGCGCCGGGGAAGCAGAACUAUUACCUUGAAAAAAUUAGAGUGCUUAAAGCAGGCAAGUGCCUGAAUAGGUUAGCAUGGAAUAAUAAAAUAGGACGGCAUGGUUCUAUUUUGUUGGUUUCUAGGAUUGACGUAAUGAUUAAUAGGGAUAGUUGGGGGCAUUAGUAUUCAAUUGUCAGAGGUGAAAUUCUUGGAUUUAUUGAAGACUAACUUCUGCGAAAGCAUUUGCCAAGGAUGUUUUCAUUAAUCAAGAACGAAAGUUAGGGGAUCGAAGACGAUCAGAUACCGUCGUAGUCUUAACCAUAAACUAUGCCGACUAGGGAUCGGACGAUGUUAAUUUUUUAAUGACUCGUUCGGCGCCUUACGGGAAAC